rnacentral:sRNA from 1 species
GCUGGGCAUGGUAGCAUGGGCCUGUAAUCCCAGUGGCUUUGGAGGCUGAGGCAGGAGGAUCGCAGGUUCAAGGCCUGCCUCAGCCACUUAGCAAGGCCCUAAGCAACUUAGAGAGAUCCUGUCUCCA